rnacentral:lncRNA from 1 species
GCAAGAGCGCGAUGGUUCAAAUGAAUAUGCUAAUUAUCAGCCCGGCUCACUUAUGACAACAGACACCCUUAUUAAGGACCUUGAUAACAUUGAUAUAGUUUUCCUUAUUGGAGAUCUCCCCUAUGCAAAUGGCUAUAUCUCACAAUGGGACCAAUUUACAGCCCAGGUGGAACCAAUAACGUCGAAAGUACCUUUCAUGAUUGCAAGGUGUGUUCAUCGUCAAGAAUUCCUUUGUGAAUGCAGAUGGUCUGCUUUUAAUUAUUUGAUAUUGUAUUUCAUAUAGUUCUUGUUAUUCUAAGUGUCUACGACGAAAAUUUGUUUUGCAGUGGUAAUCAUGAAAGAACUUGGGAGAACAGCGGAUCAUUAUACACUGGUCUGGACUCAGGUGGAGAAUGUGGUGUACCAGCCGAAACAUUAUACUACGUUCCAGCAGAAAACAGAGCUAAGUUCUGGUAUGC